GCAAAUAACCUCUCAUCUACUGCCUCUUUCAUGGUUGUUAUGGUAGCAGCUGGAUGUGCCGGUGCAUGUUAGGAGAGACUCGAGGAGGUUUUGAUUUCAUUGUGUGCUUGAUUCUUAUGCCACGCAGCCUUGGUGUGCGGAAAAGCAGAAGGGUGUCUGCGCGCUCCUGCAGCAAACAGCACCAUUUGCAAGAGGGCACUCGUGCUUUGGUAGUGCUCGCCGUGGGGCUUGUUGAAGGGACUUCAUCUGAUAAAUACAAAACUCUUUCCUCAGCUGGCUGUCAGUCGAACUGCAGGUGGUUCAGAUCCUCUUCCUCUGCUCCAAAACUGCUUUGGAUACAAAGUCAGCAGUGUUCAUCUCUGGCCCUUUCUGUUGCAGCAAAUUUUGAGAAAUGACAGUGCUACACUUCCAGACAAUUACUCAAAGACUUUUUUGGAGUACUCUUUAGUGAUUUUUAAAAUAUGACAGUCACAUAUUUUUCUUAACCUUGAAAACACUGACUAGUAUGUUCAUGCCUGUCUCCUUUUACAAAUAUCUUUUUCUGGUAGUAAUGGUUUACAGAAGUUACUGAUGAUGCUGCCUUUUUUUUGCAUUUGCUCUAUUGCUUCCAUUAUUCUGAUAACACAACAGUUUUCAGUGAAAUGUCUGUUGUUCUGAUUGAGCUGUUUCCAUCUGUUUCAGCAUAUAGUAUAUGGAGGAUAUGCUCAUUCUAUAAAAACAUCAUGUUAAUCUGGGAUAGCUCUGUGGAGGUUCCACAGGAUAUUAUAGCCACUGGCAAAGUGUUAUUGCUGUUGGUGGCUUUGCUUGCUUGUCUAUUUGUUUUGUAUGGCUUGUGUGCUUUUUCUACUGCCUAAAACUUUAGGAUGCCUAAUUCAGAAUUGUGCUUAAAAUUAGCAUUGUCCUAAUGCUGCAUUUGUAAUGGUGAAUAGUUUUGUCUUUGGCUGCAACUCUCCCCCCUCGCCCCUUUCUUUCAUAGCUCUUUUUGUAGCUUUGCAGGUUCACUGGUGCCCCACUGCCUAUUUGGCAUUCAGCGUACUGUUUGCCUGCUGCUGCCUUGUCUCGCAUCUGGUGCGAGGCUGAGUUCUAGAAACUAUCUACUGGUGUUAUUUUGCAUUGCAUUAAUGUCAUAAAGUGCAAAAUGUUUCUCCCAAGACACUGUUUUGCUCUCACGAUAUAUGUAUCUUCUCCACAAGCUUCAGCAUACUGAUUUCUCUUGAUACAGCUGCCACGUGAUGCAUUAUGUAGGGCAUUUCCCAUUUUCUUUACAACAGCUUAAGCUGUUCAUUUUUUUCAUCUCUGGUUUUGUAUCUAUGCAUUUCCUUUUGCAUAGCUUCUGCUUUAUUUUUUGCUUUUCCUAUAUAAUUAAUGCAUCUCCUCUAUCUGUGUGCAGUUUGGAUGCCUUGCACUAGUUCUGUGUUUAUUUGCAAGUCCUAGGAGUUUGAACUACUUAAGUCUUGUCUCUUGUCCCAGGUACUAAUCUGAAACUGUUUAAGAUUUGUACAAUGAAUCUGCCCAUUUAUAUAGCUUGAUGCUGUAAAGAACUUCUCAAUUCAUAAGAGCAUAUAUUUAGAGGAAAAGAACACUAUUUGCAUAUGAAACUUUGUGGGUCAAAAGUGCUCUUGGAGCUCUUGCAGCUUGUGUGUUUUCUCCUGGUCUGAUCCAGAUGUAUUAGUUUAUUACUACCUUCCCCCCCCCCCCCUUUUUUAAUCCAGCCCAAUUGAAUUUUACCCUUGUUUUGAUCUUUAUUUCAGGCUCUUAAUCCAUAACCCCUUCUUAAUUUAUCUUCUUGGGGAGAAGAAUCUGCUGUCCAGUUUUAUUCCCCCCCUGUUUCAUUUGUCAGUACUCUUCUAGUUUUAUAUAUGUGGUAAAUAAUUUUCAUGACUGAUUGGUGAAACCCUGUUCAGCAUUCAAGCUCAAAACAAGAAACGACCAAGACAGUGUAGCAGCUCGGGCUUUGUUCCUUUUUCUACAUAAUGAUUCCAACCCGCCUGCUGUUGGAAAACUAUUCGUUGCGACAAUAUGAAUCUUAUACUGCCAGCAAACUGAAAUACCAGAUUUUUUUUUUUUUGCUUUCAUAUUACAGACACUAAAAUCACUCUUAGGAUUGUUUUUGUGGGUCAAGCUGCAGACCCCAAAGGUCAUGAUCUUCCUCCAAAUUGGAGACCUUUCUGUUUUACUUGCAUUUCUAUUGAGAAACAAUACAGCUUAAUGAUGCUUCAGGGGGCUGUUCCUAGGCAGAAAAAUAAUUGCUGUGGAGAAGGAAACUGCUACAGGGUUCAACUCCUGGAUUAAUUUCCUGAAAUAAGAACAUUCCAAUAAGGGCCUAUCCUUUCCUGAGAGGUUAUUUGCCUGUAUGUAUGUUUUGAAAACAAAUUCCCUUGAAAGCUCUCUUAUGUAUAGUUAAAACAAGCUCAGGAAGUACAAGUAUAAACCCAGUUGUCAUUAACAUCUUUUUGUCCAGAGUUCAAUAAAAACUGUAAUACACUA